rnacentral:lncRNA from 1 species
CAGACCUCAUUUAAGGGUUGGCAGUGGAGGCAAGGGUAUCUUGCUGGAGAUCCUUGCUUACCUGUGGCCUUCUGAAGAAUGCAAUAACUGAAUGACUCUCAACCAUGCACUCGUGAAACCUUGCUGUAACUUCUGCAUAUGAAACUCCAUUGACUCAUACUGAUUUUAAAUUUCACGACAAAUCCAUAUAAUGAAGCUGCUAAUUCUGAAAGCUGAAGCAUUCACACUGAGAACACCGUUGGAAAUACAAGAGUGACGUUUUACUGAGGGAAAAGAAUCCAGGUGCUGCACAGAAAACCUUUCAGGACCUACAGGCGAAGGCUCUCACCUGGAUUACCCUUUCUGUGCUACAGGCAAACAAGGAUCAACAUCCAUGGAAGCACAGACAGGCUGCAAAAUGGUCCUUCUGAUGCACCACGCUGAGCCCUCCCACACGUUAGGACUGACAUGUACUACUCCAUUUCAGCAAAAUAAAUAAAUAAAAAUAAAAAUCCAAGUGGCAUUUGGAAAACAGUAUUUUCACUCCUCGGAGCCAGUGCUCCAGGCACCUCAGAUUAUGUACUGCUGGC